GAUGAAGAACGUAGCGAAAUGCGAUACGUAGUGUGAAUUGCAGAAUUCAGUGAAUCAUCGAAUCUUUGAACGCACAUUGCACCUCUCGGUAUUCCGGGAGGUAUGCCUGUUCGAGCGACAUUUGUACCCUCAAGCUCUGCUUGGUGUUGGGUGUUUGUUCCGCCUCUGUGUGUGAACUCGCCUCAAAACAAUUGGCAGCCGGCGUACUUGUUUCGGAGCGCAGCACAUUUUGCGAUCCAGAUCAACGUACAGCGGCAUCCAAGAAGCCUUAUUUAACGCUCUUGACCUCGGAUCAGGUAGGGAUACCCGCUGAACUUAAGCAUAUCAAUAAGCGGAGGA
rnacentral:misc_RNA from 1 species